UAAGCGGUUGAAGGUGUGUGGUAACGCAUGCUGGACGUAUCAGAAGUGCGAAUGCUGACAUGAGUAACGAUAAAGGGGGUGAAAAACCUCCUCGCCGGAAGACCAAGGGUUCCUGUCCAACGUUAAUCGGGGCAGGGUAAGUCGACCCCUAAGGCGAGGCCGAAAGGCGUAGUCGAUGGGAAACGGGUUAAUAUUCCCGUACUUCUUACAAUUGCGAUGGGGGGACGGAGAAGGCUAGGUGGGCCUGGCGACGGUUGUCCAGGUUCAAGUGCGUAGGCUUAAGAGUUAGGUAAAUCCGGCUCUUUUUAAGGCUGAGACACGACGUCGAGCUACUACGGUAGUGAAGUCAUUGAUGCCAUGCUUCCAGGAAAAGCCUCUAAGCUUCAGAUUGUAAGGAAUCGUACCCCAAACCGACACAGGUGGUCGGGUAGAGAAUACCAAGGCGCUUGAGAGAACUCGGGUGAAGGAACUAGGCAAAAUGGUACCGUAA
rnacentral:rRNA from 1 species